GACACAACAUCUUUGUUUGUAUGUGGUGCUGAGGAUCGAACCCGGGCCGCACGCAUGCCAGGUGAGCGUACUACAGCUUGAGCCACAUCCCCAGCCCAUGACAACAACUCUUAACAUUGAUUAGCACAUUCACUGGCAGGAACAAGUUGGGUAAAGGUGAUUGGCUAGUACAAGAGGGGGGGGUUCCUUUGAACUGAUUAGUUUAAACCACAAGGGGUGUACUUACUAAACUACAUGGUUUCCCAACAUGUUAUCUACCACCAUAAACUACUGGGGGUCAUCUGGCAUCCCAGGUAUUUCCCUGUCUCAUGCUGAUUGGUGGUUGCUAGGGGGUUGCUAUGGGUCCUCACCUAGCCUGACUGAGUCAGGGACACCUGGUGCAGCAGAUCUCUCCUGUUAUUUGUAGACAAACAACUCAGCAGGUGGGUAUGUGCUUAGGAGUGCUCUGUGGGUCUUUCCAAGGACAAAGGUCACACCCACUUCCUUUGUCAGGCUUUGCGCUGAGGUAGAGGCUGGUUUCUCAAAAAUGGAGUCCCACUAGUUUCUCACAUGAAAGGGUAAGAUAAGGUGUCGAUUGAAAAGUACCAGCCCUCGGGGCUGGAGAUG
rnacentral:lncRNA from 1 species